rnacentral:rRNA from 1 species
GUGGGGAAUAUUGCGCAAUGGGGGCAACCCUGACGCAGCAAUACCGCGUGAGUGAAGAAGGUUUUCGGAUCGUAAAACUCUUUUAUUGGGGAAGAAGAAGUGACGGUACCCAAUGAAGAAGUCCCGGCUAACUACGUGCCAGCAGCCGCGGUAAUACGUAGGGGACAAGCGUUGUCCGGAAUCACUGGGCGUAAAGGGCGCGUAGGCGGUUUUAUAAGUCAGAUGUGAAAGGUACCGGCUCAACCGGUGACGUGCAUUUGAAACUGUAAGACUUGAGUACUGGAGAGGCAAGUGGAAUUCCUAGUGUAGCGGUGAAAUGCGUAGAUAUUAGGAGGAACACCGGUGGCGAAGGCGGCUUGCUGGACAGAUACUGACGCUGAGGUGCGAAAGCGUGGGGAGCGAACAGGAUUAGAAACCCUAGUAGUCC